rnacentral:rRNA from 1 species
GAUCCUGGCUCAGGAUGAACGCUGGCGGCAUGCCUAAGACAUGCAAGUCGAACGAAGUGGUCCAAUGAAGAUGUAGUGCUUGCACGAAAUCAGCUUUGGGUUGCCACUUAGUGGCGAAAGGGUGAGUAACACGUAGGUUAUCUGCCUUUAAGACUGGGAUAACAAUUAGAAAUGAUUGCUAAUACCGGAUGAUAUAUAGAGUAAUACGUUACUUUAUAUUAAAAGGAGCCUUUAAAGCUUC